UACGAAGGGGGCUAGCGUUGCUCGGAAUUACUGGGCGUAAAGGGCGCGUAGGCGGAUAUCUAAGUUGGGGGUGAAAGCCCGGGGCUCAACCUCGGAAUUGCCUUUGAUACUGGAUAUCUUGAGUUCGGGAGAGGUGAGUGGAAUGCCGAGUGUAGAGGUGAAAUUCGUAGAUAUCGGGUGGAACACCUGUGGCGAAGGCGGCCAUCUGGACGUCAACUGACGCUGAGACGCGAAAGCGUGGGUAGCAAACAGG
rnacentral:rRNA from 1 species